CUCUCUCUCUCUCUCUCUCAUCGCAUAUAGCUAAAAUAGCUUAUUUUGCAAAAAUUGCCUGCCACUCGUUGUCUCGCCAUCUUCAUUUCCUUUCCUUUGAACGCAACAAAAUACUUUCGCACUCUCUCUACGAAACCCACUUUGAUCCUUGGAAUUUACUUCCAACCCUUUUCUUGCUUUCCUCAGCUUUUCUCUUCUCUCGUUCAUGGGUUAGAUUAUUUUCCUCUCUUGCCUCGAUUUUCUUAAUGGAGUGGGAUAGUAAUUCGG
rnacentral:misc_RNA from 1 species